rnacentral:misc_RNA from 1 species
AACGCACGAGACCUGCGGACCUGCGGAAGGAUCAUUCGUGAAGCAGGCGCUCCGUCGCCCUUCUCUACCCUUCAACCAUGUGGUCUUCUGCCAUUGCCUCGGGGGGGUUUGAGGCGGCCUCGGCCGUCGGGGCCCCUUGCUGGGCCCCGCCCCCCCGCGUGCCCUUGAUAAAGUCUUGGAGUGAUAUUUGCGUCUGAUCUGUCCGGUGGACAUAAUGAAAAUAAAACUUUCAGCAAUGGA